rnacentral:rRNA from 1 species
UACGGAGGAUCCAAGCGUUAUCCGGAUUUAUUGGGUUUAAAGGGUGCGUAGGCGGAUUGAUAAGUUAGAGGUGAAAUGUCCGAGCUCAACUCGGGAACUGCCUCUAGUACUGUUGAUCUAGAGAGUAGAUGCGGUAGGCGGAAUGUAUGGUGUAGCGGUGAAAUGCUUAGAGAUCAUACAGAACACCGAUUGCGAAGGCAGCUUACCAAUCUAUAUCUGACGUUGAGGCACGAAAGCGUGGGUAUCGAACAGG